UACAGAGGGUGCUAGCGUUGUUCGGAAUCAUUGGGCGUAAAGGGCGUGUAGGCGGUUUGUUAAGUCAUGUGUGAAAUCCCUCGGCUCAACCGGGGAACGACGCAUGAAACUGGCAAGCUAGAGUACCAAAGAGGGGGGUGGAAUUCCCGGUGUAGCGGUGAAAUGCGUAGAUAUCAGGAGGAACACCGGUGGCGAAGGCGGCCCUCUGGACGGAUACUGACGCUGAGACGCGACAGCGUGGGGAGCAAACAGG
rnacentral:rRNA from 1 species